rnacentral:rRNA from 1 species
UACGAACUGUGCAAACGUUAUUCGGAAUCACUGGGCUUAAAGGGUGCGUAGGCGGCUAUCUAAGCAGGGUGUGAAAGCCCCCGGCUCAACCGGGGAAUUGCGUUCUGAACUGGAUGGCUGGAGUGAGAUAGGGGUGUGUGGAACUUCCGGUGGAGCGGUGAAAUGUGUUGAUAUCGGAAGGAACGCCGGUGGCGAAAGCGACACACUGGGUCUCAACUGACGCUGAGGCACGAAAGCCAGGGUAGCGAACGGG